rnacentral:rRNA from 1 species
UACGAAGGGGACUAGCGUUGUUCGGAAUUACUGGGCGUAAAGCGCACGUAGGCGGAUUUGUUAAUCAGGGGUGAAAUCCCGGGGCUCAACCUCGGAACUGCCUUUGAUACUGCAAGUCUCGAGUCCGAUAGAGGUGGGUGGAAUUCCUGGUGUAGCGGUGAAAUGCGCAGAUAUCAGGAGGAACACCAAUGGCGAAGGCAGCUCACUGGGACGGUAUUGACGCUGAGACGCGAAAGCGUGGGGAGCAAACAGG